UACAUUCGUGAAAUGUAAAUUUUACGCUUGCAUAAUUCCAGUUCGUAUUAUAUUUAGUACGCUUGAUGGCCAUAUAACACCGAUUUUUCAUGCCUUGCUUUCUUAUUUAUCAGUCAGUCUGCCAUGCAUCUACAACAAGUCUUCAUAGUCGUGCUCUCUAUGCUUUCCAUUGGAAAUGCCGAAUAUAUUGCUGAUAAAAAAUCAAACGUUGAUUUUUUAUAUAAAUGUGGAACAUAUCUAAUAAAAGGAAGCAAAUAUAUUAAAAAGGCAGGGCUGCUUCUGCAAAUGACUAGCGAAUCCAUGCGAGGUAUUGCGCCCUUUAAUGCAAAAAUGUAUAUAAACCAGUGGCUAGAAGUGGAUGAUGAAGUACCCCGUAAACCCAGCUACCUCAAAUAUUUCAACCUCUUUUAAAUGAUCUAAAUGGAGCCACGCUAAAAAUAUACAAUAAUAAAAAGAAAAACUAGGUCAAAAACACCUCAACAAACUACUUUCUCUGAGUAUCAAAAUUAAUACCGACAGCCUCUAUUAAAGACAUCAUUUCUGAGAACCACAA